rnacentral:ribozyme from 1 species
UCCUAUUCCGUCACGUCCUCGUCGUGCAGAGUGGUAACUUGCUCCACCGUAUAUCUAAGAUUGGGUAAACGAGCCAAUCCCAGACUAUUGGGCGGAUGGUAGAUCACGGUUGAACGAGAGGU